rnacentral:rRNA from 1 species
GACGAACGCUGGCGGCGUGCUUAACACAUGCAAGUCGAACGAAGAGCGAUGGACGCUUGCUUUUAUCAAUCUUAGUGGCGAACGGGUGAGUAACGCGUAAUCAACCUGCCCUUCAGAGGGGGACAACAGUUGGAAACGACUGCUAAUACCGCAUACGAUCUAAUCUCGGCAUCGAGGAUAGAUGAAAGGUGGCCUCUACAUGUAAGCUAUCACUGAAGGAGGGGAUUGCGUCUGAUUAGCUAGUUGGAGGGGUAACGGCCCACCAAGGCGAUGAUCAGUAGCCGGUCUGAGAGGAUGAACGGCCACAUUGGGACUGAGACACGGCCCAGACUCCUACGGGAGGCAGCAGUGGGGAAUCUUCCGCAAUGGACGAAAGUCUGACGGAGCAACGCCGCGUGAGUGAUGACGGCCUUCGGGUUGUAAAGCUCUGUUAAUCGGGACGAAAGGCCUUCUUGCGAAUAGGGAGAAGGAUUGACGGUACCGGAAGAGAAAGCCACGGCUAACUACGUG